GGUGACUGUACAUGCAGUCGAGCGGACAGAAGAGAGCUUGCUCCCGGAUGUUAGCGGCGGACGGGUGAGUAACACGUGGGUAACCUGCCUGUAAGACUGGGAUAACUCCGGGAAACCGGAGCUAAUACCGGAUAGUUCCUUGAACCGCAUGGUUCAAGGAUGAAAGACGGUUUCGGCUGUCACUUACAGAUGGACCCGCGGCGCAUUAGCUAGUUGGUGGGGUAAUGGCUCACCAAGGCGACGAUGCGUAGCCGACCUGAGAGGGUGAUCGGCCACACUGGGACUGAGACACGCGCCCAGACUCCUACGGGAGGCAGCAGUAGGGAAUCUUCCGCAAUGGACGAAAGUCUGACGGAGCAACGCCGCGUGAGUGAUGAAGGUUUUCGGAUCGUAAAGCUCUGUUGUUAGGGAAGAACAAGUGCGAGAGUAACUGCUCGCACCUUGACGGUACCUAACCAGAAAGCCACGGCUAACUACGUGCCAGCAGCCGCGGUAAUACGUAGGUGGCAAGCGUUGUCCGGAAUUAUUGGGCGUAAAGGGCUCGCAGGCGGUUUCUUAAGUCUGAUGUGAAAGCCCCCGGCUCAACCGGGGAGGGUCAUUGGAAACUGGGAAACUUGAGUGCAGAAGAGGAGAGUGGAAUUCCACGUGUAGCGGUGAAAUGCGUAGAGAUGUGGAGGAACACCAGUGGCGAAGGCGACUCUCUGGUCUGUAACUGACGCUGAGGAGCGAAAGCGUGGGGAGCGAACAGGAUAAGAUACCCUGGUAGUCCACGCCGUAAACGAUGAGGUGCUAAGUGUUAGGGGGUUUCCGCCCCUUAGUGCUGCAGCUAACGCAUUAAGCACUCCGCCUGGGGAGUACGGUCGCAAGACUGAAACUCAAAGGAAUUGACGGGGGCCCGCACAAGCGGUGGAGCAUGUGGUUUAAUUCGAAGCAACGCGAAGAACCUUACCAGGUCUUGACAUCCUCUGACAACCCUAGAGAUAGGGCUUUCCCUUCGGGGACAGAGUGACAGGUGGUGCAUGGUUGUCGUCAGCUCGUGUCGUGAGAUGUUGGGUUAAGUCCCGCAACGAGCGCAACCCUUGAUCUUAGUUGCCAGCAUUCAGUUGGGCACUCUAAGGUGACUGCCGGUGACAAACCGGAGGAAGGUGGGGAUGACGUCAAAUCAUCAUGCCCCUUAUGACCUGGGCUACACACGUGCUACAAUGGACAGAACAAAGGGCUGCAAGACCGCAAGGUUUAGCCAAUCCCAUAAAUCUGUUCUCAGUUCGGAUCGCAGUCUGCAACUCGACUGCGUGAAGCUGGAAUCGCUAGUAAUCGCGGAUCAGCAUGCCGCGGUGAAUACGUUCCCGGCCCUUGUACACACCGCCCGUCACACCACGAGAGUUUGCAACACCCGAAGUCGGUGAGGUAACCUUUAUGGAGCCAGCCGC
rnacentral:rRNA from 1 species